GACGAACGCUGGCGGCGUGCUUAACACAUGCAAGUCGAACGGAAAGGCCCUGCUUUUGUGGGGUGCUCGAGUGGCGAACGGGUGAGUAACACGUGAGUAACCUGCCCUUGACUUUGGGAUAACUUCAGGAAACUGGGGCUAAUACCGGAUAGGAGCUCCUGCUGCAUGGGGGGGGUUGGAAAGUUUCGGCGGUUGGGGAUGGACUCGCGGCUUAUCAGCUUGUUGGUGGGGUAGUGGCUUACCAAGGCUUUGACGGGUAGCCGGCCUGGGAGGGUGACCGGGCACAUUGGGACUGCGAUACGGACCAGACUCCUACGGGAGGCAGCAGUGGGGAAUAUUGCACAACGGGCGGAAGCCUGAUGCAGCAACGCCGCGUGCGGGAUGCCGGCCUUCGGGUUGUAAACCGCUUUCGCCUGUGACGAAGCGUGAGUGACGGUAAUGGGUAAAGAAGCACCGGCUAACUACGUG
rnacentral:rRNA from 1 species